CGCUCGAAUCUGCGUGGUGUGGUGGGAGCGCGCCUGCCCUAACUUCCCAGCCUGCUAGUCUGCCUCCUUCUUUCCGAACCCACGAAAAAGUUGAACUUGGGCUAGGAGCAGAGCUUCGCCAAGUCGGCGUCCAGGCAAGAAAGCCAGGAAGCAGCUUGCAUACCCAGGCCUGCUGUGGUACCUCACCUUCCCUGCCCUCUCCCCCAGUCAGAGGCCAAGUACCUUUAAGAGUCUGAUCUUAGAGUGCUGUCCUCCCGGGAACCAGGAAAGUCUAACAGUUGUUCGCUUUUCCUCUGAGCAUGAUUGGCUAUGUAUUCAAUGUGUAUAUAUAUGACAUAGCUUUCAGAAAAGCUAAAAAUCAUGUGGGGUGUAAGCUGCAGAAGCUAAGAUGCCGCCGCUGUACAUACGUUAUACGUUUAAACACCAAACACGGGAAUUUAAAAAAAAUGCCAAGUCAAGCCGUUCUUUGCUUGCUCCAAACAGAAUUUCAGAGAUAGGCUGGGAUUUUGUGCCCUUAGAAAAGAAAACGGAAACUAUGUUUUAUUGUGCAUAGUAUUACUUAACAUUAAAAGGGGGGGGGGACUAACAUGCAUUGCUAUUAGCAUUUUAUUUAUGUUUCUAUGUUUAAGUACCAGAGUCCAAAGUUCACUGAUAGACUUCUAAACGCGGAUUUUAAAAAAGAAUGUGUUUACCUUCUUUGCAGAUUAGAAAUUUGGAAUAUUGUGAAAACAUAGGGGAUAUUUUCUCAGUCUUUGUACCUGACCAAAGGAGAUCACUGACCUCUAUAAUCAUUUUCCAUUUAAUUUCAUUAGAAAAACCUAAAAUGUAAACACGGAUAACAAUCUGACAUAAGAGAAUUUAAGCAUUUACUUUAAAAGUUCCCCUCUCUCAACUGUCAAGCUUCAAGUAAUCGUUCAAGCAGUUGCAGGCUACUUUUUGGAUAAUGCAUUUGUAAAUUCUUGGUUAAAAAAAGUACUAGAAAUUAAGCAAAAAUACUCAAUUUUAUGAAAGAUUUUUAAGAAUUUGUGUCACAAUCCUUUACUUAAUAAAGUCAUUUAAACUGA